rnacentral:rRNA from 1 species
GACGAACGCUGGCGGCGUGCCUAAUACAUGCAAGUAGAACGCACAGUUUAUACCGUAGCUUGCUACACCAUAGACUGUGAGUUGCGAACGGGUGAGUAACGCGUAGGUAACCUGCCUGGUAGCGGGGGAUAACUAUUGGAAACGAUAGCUAAUACCGCAUAAUAUUAAUUAUUGCAUGAUAAUUAAUUGAAAGGUGCAAUUGCACCACUACCAGAUGGACCUGCGUUGUAUUAGCUAGUAGGUGAGGUAACGGCUCACCUAGGCGACGAUACAUAGCCGACCUGAGAGGGUGAUCGGCCACACUGGGACUGAGACACGGCCCAGACUCCUACGGGAGGCAGCAGUAGGGAAUCUUCGGCAAUGGACGAAAGUCUGACCGAGCAACGCCGCGUGAGUGAAGAAGGUUUUCGGAUCGUAAAGCUCUGUUGUAAGAGAAGAGCGGGUGUGAGCGUGGAAAGUUCACACUGUCACGGUAUCUUACCAGAAAGGGACGGCUAACUACGUG